AAAAAGUCUUUCUUUUUUUAGAA
rnacentral:tRNA from 1 species